GAUCAUGGCUCAGCAUGAACGCUAGCGACAGGCCUAACACAUGCAAGUCGAUGGGCAGCGGAGAGGUAGCAAUACCUUUGCCGGCGACCGGCGCACGGGUGAGUAACACGUAUGCAAUCCACCUGUAACAGGGGGAUAACCCGGAGAAAUCCGGACUAAUACCCCAUAAUAUGGGCGCUCCGCAUGGAGAGCCCAUUAAAGAGAGCAAUUUUGGUUACAGACGAGCAUGCG
rnacentral:rRNA from 1 species